UCCUCCCUCUGUCGGCGUGCUUAACACAUGCAAGUCGAACGGUGAAGCGCCUUCCUUUUUGGUGGGUGUGGAUGAGUGGCGAACGGGUGAGUAACACGUGAGUAACCUGCCCCCUUCUUCUGGAUAACCGCAUGAAAGUGUGGCUAAUACGGGAUAUUCUGGGUCUGUCGCAUGAUGGGUCUGGGAAAGAUAUUGUUUCGGUGGGGGAUGGGCUCGCGGCCUAUCAGCUUGUUGGUGGGGUGAUGGCCUACCAAGGCGGUGACGGGUAGCCGGCCUGAGAGGGUGGACUGUCACACUGGGACUGAGACACGGCCCAGACUCCUACGGGAGGCAGCAGUGGGGAAUAUUGCACAAUGGGCGCAAGCCUGAUGCAGCGACGCCGCGUGAGGGAUGGAGGCCUGCGGGUUGUGAACCUCUUUCGCCAGUGAAGCAGGCCUGCCUCGUUUGUGGGUGGGUUGACGGUAGCUGGAUAAGAAGCGCCGGCUAACUACGUG
rnacentral:rRNA from 1 species